rnacentral:snoRNA from 1 species
GCUAAGACUAGAAUCAAAUCCUGACAUAGUACUUGUCCUUUUGUACUGGAGUCCUCAGACAAAAUUCAGCUGGCCUUGAUUCACUGGUAGGGGCAAUCACAAGUCAUAAAUUGCCCAGGUCAAAAACAUGA